rnacentral:sRNA from 1 species
AGCAGCCGCGGUAAUUCCAGCUCCAAUAGCGUAUAUUAAAGUUGUUGCAGUUAAAAAGCUCGUAGUUGAAUUUCGGGAUCAAUACGCCUGUCGUGCCUUCGGUACGUACGGGUGUAAUUGGUUUCUACCUUCUGAGGAUCCUUGAUGUCAUUAAUUUGGUGUCUUGGGGAAUCAGGACUGUUACCUUGAAAAAAUUAGAGUGUUUAAAGCAGGCAUACGCUUGAAUACAUUAGCAUGGAAUAAUGAAAUAGGACGUUCGAUUCUAUUUUGUUGGUUUCUAGGAUCGACGUAAUGAUUAAUAGGGAUAGUUGGGGGCAUUAGUAUUCAAUUGUCAGAGGUGAAAUUCUUGGAUUUAUUGAAGACUAACUACUGCGAAAGCAUUUGCCAAGGAUGUUUUCAUUAAUCAAGAACGAAAGUUAGGGGAUCGAAGACGAUCAGAUACCGUCGUAGUCUUAACCAUAAACUAUGCCGACUAGGGAUCGGAUGAUGUUAUUUUUAAUGACUCAUUCGGCGCCUUACG